ACAUGCCUACAACAUAACGUUAUUGCACUGGAUCCCAUUAGAACUCUGCAGUUAAGCACACUCAGGCUAGAGUAGUACUAGGAUGGGUGACCACCUGGGAAGUCCUAGUAUUUUACAUGCC
rnacentral:rRNA from 1 species